rnacentral:rRNA from 1 species
UACGUAGGUGGCAAGCGUUGUCCGGAUUUACUGGGCGUAAAGAGCGCGCAGGCGGUCGUUCAAGUCGCGUGUGAAAGCCCCCGGCUCAACUGGGGAACUGCGCUGGAAACUGGCAGACGUCGAGUACCGAGAGGAGAGUGGAAUUCCUGGUGUAGCGGUGAAAUGCGUAGGAUAUCAGGAGGAACACCGGUGGCGAAGGCGGCUCUCUGGACGGAUACUGACGCUGAGGCGCGAAAGCGUG